rnacentral:lncRNA from 1 species
UCUUCCCACUUGCCUCCUCACGUUUCCUCCUUGCAGGUCCCUGUCCGCACCCUCCCAGACCCAAGCCUGAGCUUGCUGUGAGAGCUCCUCGGCCCCGCGCCCGCCCCCAGAGCUGCCGCCCCUGGUUUGUAGCCUGGCAGAGCUGGAGGGAGGGGCGGAAGCAAGGAGGGUGCUCAUAUUUUGUCUUUGGACUUGAGCCGAUCUUUUGGCUGAUUCUCUCCACCCACUAAAGUCUCUCAACUUAUCUGGUCCUUGGGGUGAGGCCCUGAGAACUGAAAGAGUCCAGAAGUGGAGACUCUCACACUCAGUCAGCACUGGAGCCAGGCUGGGGAGGGGAGGACUAGCCAUGCGCCUCUGCCCCACCCCGCAUGUCUAGAAGCUCGUGCAGCACUGCAUGUGGGUACUGUGUCCCCCUAGUUCUGUGGAGUGGGUGGACAGGCCCUAUGUGGUGUCCCUUGGCUGAGGAGUUGGCAAGAGCCUGCCAAGGAGUAUAGUGUAGCAGAAAAAAAAUCUGCUCUCUGGCUGAUGGUAGCCUUCAGUCAGCCUUUCUCCUUGUGUGACCUUGGGCAAGUCACGGCCUCUCUCAGGGUCAUAGUUGGAUUCUAAGAUGGGAGCAGACAGCUGCUUCCAGUGGCCUCUUUAUGCCUGGGACAGCGGCGAUCUGCCUCUCCCAUCCCUGCCAUCAGGCUGCCACCAGCAGCCUAAGACCUCAGCUUCUCCCCUCCUCGGUUCUGACUCCACCUCCUUUGGGCCUCAGCCCCACCCCUCCUCCAGAGCCAGCCUGGGACUCACUUGCCUUUUUCUCUCCCUCUCUCCCUCCCUCCCCCACUCUCCUCAACUUUACUGUCCUGGCAUUACCCCAUCCUCACCCCCCUCCCCCAACCCUGGAUUUCUGACCCCUUUUCCUCUUCCUCUGUCCCUCCCCCUCUUAUUUUCUAGCUAUUACAAGCCAGAGGCACCCGGAUGUGAGCCCCCAGAUCACCUCCAGGGACUUGGGGUUCCGAUCUGAAAUCCUUUAUUUUUGUAC